rnacentral:lncRNA from 1 species
UUUUGCUACCCCUGAAGCUUACUGUUAGUGGUCGAGUUUUUCUGGAAGUGGGCUUCCGCGAUCGCGGGGACCAACGCCCUGAGCUCUUGUGCCCAAAGGGGAUCGCCAGGUUUUUUGAUGCGGAUCGAAAGGGACUGGCCCCGGAGCCUACAACCUGACGCAGGUGGGACUUGGGGAAAUGUCGAGAAACCUAGGUCUGGGACUUGAGUUGGCUUCCAGGGCACACAUUCUUGUUCAGAAGAAACACAUUGCAAAAAUCGGGAGGUGACGGGCAGAUGAAGUGUCGGCGCUUCGCCUCGGGACUCCAGUGCAACCUAUGGGGCUUUUGGAAAUGAGGAAGUCGAUGACUCUGCAGGGACUCCUCUGACCCAGGAGCAGAUGGCGCUCGUCUGGGCACUCCCCAGGAGAAAAGGUGCAUCGGGAAGCAGCCUGGCUUGUGGAUGACCUGCUUUGCUCAGAAAGGGAGAUCAGGAGACCAGGUGAUGCUGUAGCAAAUGUCAGAGUCGAGUCGUGGACAAGGUGGAGGAGAGAGAAUUCCUUGGCAGUAGCAUUAUGAACAAAUGCAGGGCUGAGAAACAGCAUGGUGGCCUUGACUAAGUUUAUGGCGACAGCAGGUAUAAGGAAACAGCUGAAUUUAUGUCACUUGCCCAAUGUCACACAACUAGCAAGACUGACUCCUUGAAGCUCAUCACAUGUAAGAACUGCUUUAGAGCAGUGGUCUUCAAACUUUGAAAGCAUAUCCUGUUGAAAAAUUAUGUAUCCACUUCUACAUUUUGCGAUGCCUCUUCAUGGGUGGUGGAUGAAGAAACUGAACAGGGCCAUGAUCCUUAUCUGUAAUUUCCCGGCUACCACACUGCUUUGGUGGUCUUCCCUCGUCUCUUCCUGGGUAGAAACAACUACCUGGAGAUCCCAAUGUUCUUGUCAGUGCACUUUUCAUGGACUGCAGUGGUAAGACGAUGUGUUGGAUGCCCAAACACAAACCAAGUGAGCCCUCUACCUUCGCAAUUCCCGGUGCUGUGGAGCUGUCAGAGUUUUAACAUCUCAACCAAGCCACAUGGAUACUAUUUCCUCAGAAAAGACAAAAUUGAUCCAAGCAGAAGAGUGAACUCACCGAAGAGGACUCUCUACCCAUAACUGGGGAUGCCUCAGCCACUCACACUUACUCCAAGAUUAGUGUCACUGAUUAUGGAAAGAAUUGACUUCUUCCCCUGGUCUUGCUCAUUUUUCUAGAGCCCAGGACAAUAAAUGUGUUUUACGGCAGAGAAAAGUGAAGACGGGUGGAAUUGUGUGUGUUGAGAGAGAAGCAGAUAGGCAAUCUUACGCUUUGGCUCCUAGAUUAUGCAGGUGCCUCUUUUCUAUCAUCUCCAUAAAUCCUACCCUUACUGCGC